rnacentral:rRNA from 1 species
GAUGAACGCUGACAGAAUGCUUAACACAUGCAAGUCCACUUGAACUUCGGUUUGGGUGGCGGACGGGUGAGUAACGCGUACAGAACUUGCCUCACAGAUAGGGACAACAUUUGGAAACGAAUGCUAAUACCUGAUAUUAUGAUUAUAUGGCAUCGUAUAAUUAUGAAAGCUAUAUGCGCUGUGAGAGAGCUUUGCGUCCCAUUAGCUAGUUGGAGAGGUAACGGCUCACCAAGGCGAUGAUGGGUAGCCGGCCUGAGAGGGUGAUCGGCCACAAGGGGACUGAGACACGGCCCUUACUCCUACGGGAGGCAGGAGUGGGGAAUAUUGGACAAUGGACCAAGAGUCUGAUCCAGCAAUUCUGUGUGCACGAUGAAUUUUUUCGGAAUGUAAAGUGCUUUCAGUUGGGAAGAAAAAAAUGACGGUACCAACAGAAGAAGUUACGGCUAAAUACGUG